AUGAAUCUAGUGCACGCCUGUAAGUGGCCCACCACUGCAGUAACAAAUCACCACAGCGCAGUGUUUUACACAACACGGGCCCCUUCCCCACAGCGCGGCGUUUACACAACACAGGCCCCUUCCCACAGCGCAGUGUGUUACACAACACAGGCCCCUUCCCACAGCGCGGCGUUUACACAACACGAGCCCCUUCCCCACAGCGCAGUGCUUGCACAACACAGGCCCCUUCCCCACAGCGCAGUGUUUACACAACACAGGCCCCUUCCCACGCAGUGUUUUACACAACACGGGCCCCUUCCCCACAGCGCAGUGUGUUACACAACACGGGCCCCUUCCCACAGCUCAGUGUUUACACAACAGAGGCCCCUUCCCACAGCGCAGUGUUUACACAACAGAGGCCCCUUCCCACAGCGCAGUGUGUUACACAACACGGGCCCCUUCCCACAGCGCAGUGUUUACACAACAGAGGCCCCUUCCCACAGCGCAGUGUGUUACACAACACGGGCCCCUUCCCACAGAGCAGUGUGUUACACAACACGGGCCCCUUCCCCACAGCGCAGUGUGUUACACAACACGGGCCCCUUCCCACAGCGCAGUGUUUACACAACACGGGCCCCUUCCCCACAGCGCAGUGUUUACACAACAGAGGCCCCUUCCCACAGCGCAGUGUGUUACACAACACGGGCCCCUUCCCACAGAGCAGUGUGUUACACAACACGGGCCCCUUCCCACAGCGCAGUGUGUUACACAACACGGGCCCCUUCCCACAGCGCAGUGUUUACACAACACGGGCCCCUUCCCCACAGCGCAGUGUUUACACAACAGAGGCCCCUUCCCACAGCGCAGUGUGUUACACAACACAGGCCCCUUCCCCACAGUGCAGUGUGUUACACAACACGGGCCCCUUCCCACAGCGCAGUGUGUUACACAACACAGGCCCCUUCCCCACAGCGCAGUGUGUUACACAACACGGGCCCCUUCCCACAGCGCAGUGUUUACACAACACGGGCCCCUUCCCACAGCGCAGUGUGUUACACAACAUGGGCCCCUUCCCACAGCUCAGUGUUUACACAACAGAGGCCCCUUCCCACAGCGCAGUGUGUUACACAACACGGGCCCCUUCCCACAGCGCAGUGUUUACACAACACGGGCCCCUUCCCACAGCGCAGUGUUUACACAACAUGGGCCCCUUCCCACAGCUCAGUGUUUACACAACAGAGGCCCCUUCCCACAGCGCAGUGUGUUAGACAACACGGGCCCCUUCCCACAGCGCAGUGUGUUACACAACACGGGCCCCUUCCCACAGCGCAGUGUGUUACACAACAGAGGCCCUUUCCCCACAGCGCAGUGUGUUAG
rnacentral:lncRNA from 1 species